UUCGAGGUUGCCCACGAGCGUGGGAAUAU
rnacentral:sRNA from 1 species